rnacentral:rRNA from 1 species
AUUGAACGCUGGCGGAAUGCUUUACACAUGCAAGUCGAGCGGCAGCACGGGGGCAACCCUGGUGGCGAGCGGCGAACGGGUGAGUAAUACAUCGGAACAUGCCCAGUCGUGGGGGAUAACACUUCGAAAGAAGUGCUAAUACCGCAUACGUCCUGAGGGAGAAAGCGGGGGAUCGCAAGACCUCGCGCGAUUGGAGUGGCCGAUGUCAGAUUAGCUAGUUGGUGGGGUAAAGGCCUACCAAGGCAACGAUCUGUAGCUGGUCUGAGAGGAUGAUCAGCCACACUGGGACUGAGACACGGCCCAGACUCCUACGGGAGGCAGCAGUGGGGAAUUUUGGACAAUGGGGGCAAACCUGAUCCAGCCAUUCCGCGUGAGUGAAGAAGGCCUUCGGGUUGUAAAGCUCUUUCGGCAGGAACGAAACGGCGAGCUCUAACAUAGCUUGCUAAUGACGGUACCUGAAGAAGAAGCACCGGCUAACUACGUG